ACUUUUUGUUUCCUCUCAACACUCUUCUUCUUUCCUACUGGUUAACAGUAAUCCCAACGUCAUUAUAUAAAUACGAACUGUGGCGCACACACAC